rnacentral:rRNA from 1 species
GGGCCCGACGUCGCAUGCUCCCGGCCGCCAUGGCGGCCGCGGGAAUUCGAUAGAGUUUGAUCAUGGCUCAGAUUGAACGCUGGCGGCAGGCCUAACACAUGCAAGUCGAGCGGAAACGACACUAACAAUCCUUCGGGUGCGUUAAUGGGCGUCGAGCGGCGGACGGGUGAGUAAUGCCUAGGAAAUUGCCUUGAUGUGGGGGAUAACCAUUGGAAACGAUGGCUAAUACCGCAUGAUGCCUACGGGCCAAAGAGGGGGACCUUCGGGCCUCUCGCGUCAAGAUAUGCCUAGGUGGGAUUAGCUAGUUGGUGAGGUAAUGGCUCACCAAGGCGACGAUCCCUAGCUGGUCUGAGAGGAUGAUCAGCCACACUGGAACUGAGACACGGUCCAGACUCCUACGGGAGGCAGCAGUGGGGAAUAUUGCACAAUGGGCGAAAGCCUGAUGCAGCCAUGCCGCGUGUAUGAAGAAGGCCUUCGGGUUGUAAAGUACUUUCAGUUGUGAGGAAGGGUGUGUAGUUAAUAGCUGCGCAUCUUGACGUUAGCAACAGAGGAAGCACCGGCUAACUCCGUGCCAGCAGCCGCGGUAAUACGGAGGGUGCGAGCGUUAAUCGGAAUUACUGGGCGUAAAGCGCAUGCAGGUGGUUCAUUAAGUCAGAUGUGAAAGCCCGGGGCUCAACCUCGGAACUGCAUUUGAAACUGGUGAACUAGAGUACUGUAGAGGGGGGUAGAAUUUCAGGUGUAGCGGUGAAAUGCGUAGAGAUCUGAAGGAAUACCAGUGGCGAAGGCGGCCCCCUGGACAGAUACUGACACUCAGAUGCGAAAGCGUGGGGAGCAAACAGGAUUAGAUACCCUGGUAGUCCACGCCGUAAACGAUGUCUACUUGGAGGUUGUGGCCUUGAGCCGUGGCUUUCGGAGCUAACGCGUUAAGUAGACCGCCUGGGGAGUACGGUCGCAAGAUUAAGACUCAAAUGAAUUGACGGGGGCCCGCACAAGCGGUGGAGCAUGUGGUUUAAUUCGAUGCAACGCGAAGAACCUUACCUACUCUUGACAUCCAGAGAAGCCAGCGGAGACGCAGGUGUGCCUUCGGGAGCUCUGAGACAGGUGCUGCAUGGCUGUCGUCAGCUCGUGUUGUGAAAUGUUGGGUUAAGUAAUCACUAGUGAAUUCGCGGCCGCCUGCAGGUCGACCAUAUGGGAGAGCUCCCAACGCGUUGGAUGCAUAGCUUGAGUAUUCUAUAGUGUCACCUAAAUAGCUUGGCGUAAUC